rnacentral:rRNA from 1 species
GAUGAACGCUGGCGGCGUGCUUAACACAUGCAAGUCGAACGGAGUGCCUUAGAAAGAGGAUUCGUCCAAUUGAUAAGGUUACUUAGUGGCGGACGGGUGAGUAACGCGUGAGGAACCUGCCUCGGAGUGGGGAAUAACAGACCGAAAGGUCUGCUAAUACCGCAUGAUGCAGUUGGACCGCAUGGUCCUGACUGCCAAAGAUUUAUCGCUCUGAGAUGGCCUCGCGUCUGAUUAGCUUGUUGGCGGGGUAAUGGCCCACCAAGGCGACGAUCAGUAGCCGGACUGAGAGGUUGGCCGGCCACAUUGGGACUGAGACACGGCCCAGACUCCUACGGGAGGCAGCAGUGGGGAAUAUUGGGCAAUGGGCGCAAGCCUGACCCAGCAACGCCGCGUGAAGGAAGAAGGCUUUCGGGUUGUAAACUUCUUUUCUCAGGGACGAACAAAUGACGGUACCUGAGGAAUAAG